GGUGCCCAAAGCCCCCUCCUGUGCAGCCUGAGCAUGCCUUGCUGAGGAUGAAGCCUGCUUUCCAGCAGUUCUGAAAACUGUGUUGAGGCUGAAAUGCUGCGUCUGUGUUUGGGUUGGCGUUGUACCUUGAUGAAUCAACCCACUUGUGUAACUCUCCAGAGGACUAAAACCCGCUUGAUUACAUGCUAGAAGAGGCUUGACUGUGUUGGUGGCAGUAUUACCAAGAGACUGAGCAGGGUCACGUUUUUCAUCUGCAAAGGGAACGCAAGGCAUAGGCACGGAAACUUGAACGAAGCAUGAGGCAGAGUACGUCUCCUGCCACGUUUCUGAGACAUGCCAGACGUCAGCGGUUCCAGUUCCUGAAAUGCUGGAGAUGCUCGGAGCACAAGAGGAGCUGGGAGCAUGAUGCAUCUCCUGGGGAUGUUAGGUGAAGAGGAGCCUUGUGCCUGAAGCAAUGUCCUGGCUAGCCUUUGUGAGCCUUCCUUGCUCCCUUGCUGGCUGCAGCACUAUAUUUUGCUCGUAAUUCUGCGUGUGAAGAUCUGAAUGAAGACAAUGGAGUCGUAAGUGUUUAAAGCGUAUACUGUUCUGUUGGAUGGGUUUUGGUUGCCUGUGUGUGUAAGAGUGUGACUGAGACGGAAUUUAGUUCCGAAGCGAUUGUGGAGGUCUUCUUUACCACGGUUCCAAUGUCCCGCGAGGGACUUGGCCGGUGAAG